rnacentral:rRNA from 1 species
AACGAACGCUGGCGGCAUGCCUAACACAUGCAAGUCGAACGAGAGCUUCGGCUCUAGUGGCGCACGGGUGCGUAACGCGUGGGAAUCUGCCCUUGGGUUCGGAAUAACAGUUGGAAACGACUGCUAAUACCGGAUGAUGACGUAAGUCCAAAGAUUUAUCGCCCUGGGAUGAGCUCGCGUCGGAUUAGCUAGUUGGUGGGGUAAAGGCCUACCAAGGCGAAAAUCAGUAGCUGGUCUGUGAUGAUGAUCAGUCACACUGGGACUGAGACACGGCCCAGACUCCUACGGGAGGCAGCAGUGGGGAAUAUUGGACAAUGGGCGCAAGCCUGAUCCAGCAAUGCCGCGUGAGUGAUGAAGGCCUUAGGGUUGUAAAGCUCUUUUACCCGGGAAGAUAAUGACUGUACCGGGAGAAUAAGCCCCGGCUAACUCCGUGCCAGCCGCCGCCGUAA